CCCUUAGAUGUUCUGGGCCGCACACGCGCUACACUGAAGGAGGCAGCGUGUACUCCUGGAUCGAAAGAUUUGGGUAACCCGCGAAUCUCCUUCGUGCUAGGGAUUGAGGUUUGCAAUUAUCCUUCAUGAACGAGGAAUUCCCAGUAAGUGCAAGUCAUAAGCUUGCGCUGACUACGUCCCUGCCCUUUGUACACACCGCCCGUCGCUACUACCGAUUGGAUGGUCCGGUGAAGCCUCGGGAUUGUGGUUCUUGCCGCUUUAUUGUGGCGUGACCGCGAGAACUUGUCUAAACCUUAUCAUCUAGAGGAAGGUGAANUCGUAACA
rnacentral:rRNA from 1 species